GAAUUCUGAAACAAGAGAAGAAACGAAAGCGACAAGUGAUUUGAAUGAGCGACUCAUAGAGACUUUGUUAGCCACUAGCUAAUUGAUAUUGAAUCUGAGUAAGAAAUUGAAUGAAAAUGUCACGUCAUGCAAUUAUACCUUCUGGUUUAAGAUGGAGGCCCUGCUCGAUGAGCUCUGGUUGCGUCGCUGCAGAACAGUUGACUGUAAUGCCAAGCUCCUAUUUUUGUAAGAUCCUGGAGAAAUUUCAUCAUCCACACAACUCAAAACCCUCUUCUCGCAGAUUCGAUAGGAUUCCUAUUGUUACAAUGAAUUUGAGCCUUGUUCAUCGAGUCUGGAGUGGCUGGAGAUGACUUCUCUGCUUCUCUUUUCCUCUGCUGUAGUCUUGGGCUCAGGACAGUCGAAGUUUUUGUUGAGAUCCCACUGCUUUCUCCCGCUGAGUUUGAACGAAAUCUCGGAGAACUAUUGUUUUCGAACCUGUCUUUCUAUUGCCCGGAUUACUUGUAUGCAGCUUGGGAAGAGUCGAUAGAGAUUCCAGCAGAAUCACUGGGUGACCUGAAGCAUCUGAAAUGUCGACAUUUUUCGCAGGCUUCAUAAUCACAAUUGGAGGAUCGAAAGCUUUUGGACUACCACCUGCUUUUGCUGGUCGUUUCGAGAUCUUCGGCGACCCCAAGUUCUGAUCGCUUCCCUUGUGAGGGUGAUCUUUGUCUUUUGUGGUCCGUGCCAGCCUGCUUGCGCGCAUAGCGUCUACCAUUUGUUUGAGAGCUUUGAGGUCCUUUUGCUGCUUCUGGAACUGAUCCCCUUUGAGUCUCUCCUCUACUUCUUUAAUGAUGGCCUCCGUUCGUUGCUUCAUCUGAGCUUCUUGGUACCCAGUUCUUGAUUUGUGUGGAGAGUGGCCUCUAUCCCGCUGCUUCCAAGGGGCUGCUUCGGUCAUGAUCCUUGAAUUGUGCCUGAGCGAUGAAUGGUGACCUUUUGGCUUUGUUACAAUGGAAUCUCUGCUUUGAACAGGAUCACCCUUUGCAUCCCGAGCUCCUUUUGAUCUUGUCGUAGAGUUACGGUCUCUUGGUUCAUGCAAAGAAGAACAGCUUUUUCUGGUGAUUGCUUGAUCUGCUGAGCUCAACUCUGGAGCUUCAUCCACCAAGCCCAUGAGCUUUGCAACGACAGUGGGGAAUCGCUUUUGAUUGCUGGGAGGAUCUUGGAGUAGAUUGGAGGCCCUGUUGACCCUGGGACUGGUAUUAGCUUUAUCAAAAGACUCCAAAGCGGAGCUUGUUCUUGAGACAAAUUUAGAAGCCAUUUGGGAACCUUGCCUGCUGUCCAGUGACAGCCUUGGAAGCUCUCGGAGUUUGGUAACAGACUUGCCGGUAUCUCGGGAAUCCAUGGACGGCCGCGAGAACUCUCUCUCAUCACAUGAGAGACGAGGAGUUCUCUGCGAUGCUUGGUACAACGAGGCAUCUCUUGCCCCAUGAUCGCGAAAUUUCCAAGGUGCUUCCUUGAGCUCCACCAGAAGUCUGAUUGCUUCGUUGAGAUCAUUCGGCAUCCUUGUUUUGGAGAACAGCAGAGGCAUAGGGGAGUCCGCGUGCUUCACUGCAUGGUUCUUGACCUCCUCAGUGGAUGAAGUCUCGAUAGCGAAGCCCCGAGUGUCCUUUUGCGUGGGGUCUUCGGCAGCAUUGUGGAAAACAAAGGAUUGUGCACCAGACUUAGCAACUGAGAUGUCACUUCGGAGGUCGAAGCCGAUAGAUUUGGCAACAUGGUCUGAAUUCUUCUGCUUGGGUGAACUCCUUGGGGAUCUCUCGGUAAAGAAUGCUUUGUCGAAGGAGCAGGCCUCUUGGUGAGAUAAUUUGCUGUAUUCCAAAGAAGAGAAUGAUGAGCUGGAUGAGGAAAACGAAGCUCUUGAGGAUUCCAAAGAGACUGUCUGGUUUUCAUUCAAGCUCUUGCUCAGGUGUUUCUCCUGCAUGGUAAACCGAUAUCUAUUAAUCUUCCGUGGAGAGAGCUAAGAUUAGGAGGUAUAGUAAGACUGAAACUUUACCUGCAGAAUCUGUGAGAAGCAUGGAGUUUGCUCUCGUCUUCCAGUGUUUAGAAGAGCAUGACCUACCAAAGAACAGGAUAGAGUUAGGUGGGAUCUAAAUCCAGGAGCACAGACUGCAGAACCAACUCGUAUCACGGAGCCUCAUCCAUCACAGCUCCAUGGUAACAAAUUGGUGAAUUGAAUGGAUGAAUGACAAGAUCAAUGCUUAAUCUAUAUUUUUUUGGAUCAAAAGUUUCUCCAAUUCCGUAAUAUGGGAUACAAUCAAGCCAUUACUUUCCACACCAAUUUAUUCAUCAGCAAGAGGCAAUUCAGUAGAAUGGACGGAGUCUUAAGUGGAUUGUUACCUGAAGGAAGCUUCCUAUGGCUGCGAUCACUGAGGCUCCUCCCGGCGAGGAGAUGGCGGCGGUCGAACAUCCGAAAGAUCCCGGAGAUGCACCCGAUUUGCUUCUGCAAAUCCAGCUUCUUGUCAUCAGCAGACGCGUCGAGUAACUUCGUAGGCAUUUCGAGCUUCUUCAGUUCAACCAUUCCACACUCGUACGUUUUUCUACUGCACUUCUCAGCCUGCGUCUUCCUGUCAAAGGUCUAAACGGAGACUCAAUACAUGAAACCUCGUAUAAAUGCUUCGCACCUCCAAUGCAACGACAAGCUCUAAAUAACAGCCACAGAGAAGUCGACUGGGAAGACAAAAGAAGGCAUCUGCUAAAACCAUGGGAUUCAAUUAAUAAAUGGUUGGGGGGUGGGGGGAGGGGAGAGAGAGAUAGAGAGAGAGAGAGAGAGAGAGAGGUAGGAGGCCUCGCUAUUCCAUGGAUGGUGAUAGAUUCUAGUUGGGCCGGCAACGUUGAGAACUCCUCACGAUGGUCAUGUGGGUUGAUCAUCACACUGGAUGUGGGUCUCCUGCUGUCUGCAUGAGCAUGGCAUGGUUAUCAGCAAAUACAGGAGUUGCUGUUGUGCGAUGAAAAGAGUCGCACAUCGCUUCUCUACUGACUACCUCUGUACUGAUGCACAUUGCAGCAAGUAUCAUUACUGGAUCAUGAGUUGCUCUCUAA